GGCGAACGCUGGCGGCGUGCUUAACACAUGCAAGUCGAACGGAAAGGCCCUGCUUUUGUGGGGUGCUCGAGUGGCGAACGGGUGAGUAACACGUGAGUAACCUGCCCUUGACUUUGGGAUAACUUCAGGAAACUGGGGCUAAUACCGGAUAGGAGCUCCUGCUGCAUGGUGGGGGUUGGAAAGUUUCGGCGGGUGGGGAUGGACUCGCGGCUUAUCAGCUUGUUGGUGGGGUAGUGGCUUACCAAGGCUUUGACGGGUAGCCGGCCUGAGAGGGUGACCGGCCACAUUGGGACUGAGAUACGGCCCAGACUCCUACGGGAGGCAGCAGUGGGGAAUAUUGCACAAUGGGCGGAAGCCUGAUGCAGCAACGCCGCGUGCGGGAUGACGGCCUUCGGGUUGUAAACCGCUUUCGCCUGUGACGAAGCGUGAGUGACGGUAAUGGGUAAAGAAGCACCGGCUAACUACGUG
rnacentral:rRNA from 1 species